rnacentral:rRNA from 1 species
GAAACACGGACCAAGGAGUCCAACGUGUGCGCGAGUCGUUGGGCGUUAAACCCCAAUGGCGUAAUCAAGGUGAAGGGAAGUUCUCUUCCUCAGGGAGGAGCGGGUCCGGCUUCGGUCGGCCCCCGCACUCCCGGGGCGUCCCACGCUCAUUGCGAGCGGAGGCGCACCUAGAGCGUUCACGCUGGGACCCGAAAGAUGGUGAACUAUGCCUGGCCAGGACGAAGCCAGGGGAAACCCUGGUGGAGGUCCGUAGCGGUUCUGACGUGCAAAUCGAUCGUCGGAGCUGGGUAUAGGGGCGAAAGACUAAUCGAACCAUCUAGUAGCUGGUUCCCUCCGAAGUUUCCCUCAGGAUAGCUGGCAACCAGGCUGAGCUCGAGUCUCAUCUGGUAAAGCGAAUGAUUAGAGGCCUUGGGGUCGAAACGACCUCAACCUAUUCUCAAACUUUAAAUGGAUGAGAACCCCGGCUUGCUUGAAAGAGUGAAGCCGGGGCUCGGAUCAGGUUGCUAAGUGGGCCAAUUUUGGUAAGCAGAACUGGCGCUGUGG